rnacentral:rRNA from 1 species
UAUUAAGGGUGCAGGGCGGAUGCCUUGGCACUAGGAGCCGAUGAAGGACGUGAUAAGCUGCGAUAAGCUUCGGGGAGUUGCACGUAAACUUUGAUCCGAAGAUUUCCGAAUGAGGAAACUCACUUAGAGUAAUGUCUAAGUAUCAUUAAGUGAAUACAUAGCUUAAUGAGGGGAACUCAGGGAACUGAAACAUCUAAGUACCUGAAGGAAGAGAAAGAAAUUCGAUUCCGUAAGUAGCGGCGAGCGAACGCGGAUUAGCCCAAACCAAUAAAGUUUUCUUUAUUGGGGUUGCGGACAUAUCAUAACGAAGAGGUAUCGUAAUUGAAGAGGUUUGGAAAGACCCACCACAGAAGGUAAUAGUCCUGUAUGUUAAACGAGAAGACUUUAGAUAUGAUCCAGAGUACCACGGGACACGUGAAACCCUGUGGGAAGCAGGAGGGACCACCCUCCAAGGCUAAAUACUACCUAGUGACCGAUAGCGUAUAGUACCGUGAGGGAAAGGUGAAAAGAACCCCG